CAAAAGCUCCAGACGGUUCCAGAAGAUGCACUUACAUGGCAGUGGUUUGGAAAUCAAGGAUACCUAUGAGCAGCAAUAACAAACAGGAUUGAUUUUGACUUUAAAGCUGGAUCACCAACUUGCUGAGGUCAGGCCAAGUACUGGGAAAACAUAAAAUGACAAUCCUGACUGAAGUACUCUGAUGAGGAGAAUCCUUACCAUUCCCAUGUGCCAGAUUACUGCUGCAUCCUGUGCAAAUCCUGUAAUUCACUGAGAAGGAAUGUAGGGUCAAGGGGAAGUAUUUUACUUACUGUGGCAGAUGCAUGGAAAGAAACUUCUAACAGAAGAAUGCUGAUGGACAGUAUUAAUUAUCCUGCAGGCUGAUAAUAUCUAAAUAUUUGAAAGGCAUAAACUUUCCCUGAAGCACAAGGGACUAUGAAGGCUGUUCCUCCUGGUUCUUUGAAGCUGUGAUCUGGUAUGGGGAAUAAAUGCUAACAGCAAUGCA
rnacentral:lncRNA from 1 species